GACGAACGCUGGCGGCGUGCCUAAUACAUGCAAGUUGAGCGCUGAAGGUUGGUACUUGUACCGACUGGAUGAGCAGCGAACGGGUGAGUAACGCGUGGGGAAUCUGCCUUUGAGCGGGGGACAACAUUUGGAAACGAAUGCUAAUACCGCAUAAAAACUUUAAACACAAGUUUUAAGUUUGAAAGAUGCAAUUGCAUCACUCAAAGAUGAUCCCGCGUUGUAUUAGCUAGUUGGUGAGGUAAAGGCUCACCAAGGCGAUGAUACAUAGCCGACCUGAGAGGGUGAUCGGCCACAUUGGGACUGAGGCACGGCCCAAACUCCUACGGGAGGCAGCAGUAGGGAAUCUUCGGCAAUGGACGAAAGUCUGACCGAGCAACGCCGCGGGAGUGAAGAAGGGUUUCGGAUCGUAAAACUCUGUUGGUAGAGAAGAACGUUGGUGAGAGUGGAAAGCUCAUCAAGUGACGUUAACUACCCAGAAAGGGACGGCUAACUACGUG
rnacentral:rRNA from 1 species